rfam:Ovis aries breed Texel chromosome 1, whole genome shotgun sequence.
CCCCUGGUGGCUCAGAUGGUAAAGUGCCUGUCUGCAACGUAGGAGACCUAGGUUCGAUCCCUGGGUUGGGGGA